rnacentral:rRNA from 1 species
UACGUAGGGAGCAAGCGUUGUCCGGAAUCAUUGGGCGUAAAGCGCGCGUAGGCGGCCCUGUAAGUCCGUUGUGAAAGUCAAAGGCUCAACCUUUGAAAGCCGAUGGAUACUGCAGGGCUAGAGUCCGGAAGAGGCGAGUGGAAUUCCUGGUGUAGCGGUGGAAUGCGCAGAUAUCAGGAGGAACACCAGCGGCGAAGGCGGCGCUCUGGGCCGGUACUGACACUGAGGAGCGAAAGCGUGGGUAGCAAACAGG